GGCGCUGCGGAAUUUCCGUCCUUGUUGCUAGCUCCGUAUGCUAUUGUUUACAUACAAAAUGCCUUCGCGCUGUUGCGUACCGCAAUGUGACAGUCGUUCUGACGGCCACGGUUUUCCUCAAGAUCCGGAUAUUUGCAUAAAAUGGCGUGUGGCGAUUAGAAGAGAGGAUCCGGCAUCCAAGAAAUUAUGGAAACCAAGUCCAUACUCAGUGGUUUGUCGUAAUCACUUCCUUGACAGCGACUACAAGCCAUCGGACACCGGAAAGAAAAGACGAUUGAAGAGGGGUUGCAAUACCAACAGUGUUUUCCUUUAAGAAAGUGAAUGAACCAAGGAAACCUAGACACUAUGUUAUAGAUGUGGAAGAUGUUCCUGAUCUUGGAAGUGAAGUUGAAAUUUGUUCACCAGGAUGCGAUGAAAUUAUUUGUCAGUCAGAUGCUGUUGAUCAUACAGAAGAUGUGGCCAUACAGUGCAGCUUGUUGUCGGAAUCAAGCUCCAGAUUCUCGAUUCAUCACAUAACUGAUAAUGACAAAGCAGUUUUGUAUUACACUGGCUUUGACAAUUAUGAUCAUUUUAUGUAUUUCUUUCAUGUACUUGGCCCCUCUGACAAUCAUCUUUCAUAUCAGUGUUCUUUGAUACCACCAGAAGAUCAGCUUUUUAUGACUUUGUUAAAAUUCAGACAGGCAAGAGAUGAUUUUGACCUUUCCAUGUUGUUUCAUAUCAGUGAAAGUACUGUAAUUCUCACAUGGACAAACUUUUUGUACUUCCAACUGACUGAGCUAAACAUAUGGGCAUCACAUGACACCGUUCAAGAUACAAUGCCAGAAAAUUUCAAGGAGCGCUUCCCAUCAACAAGGGUCAUUCUAGAUGCAACUGAGACUCCGAUUUGUAAGCCAGGCAAUGUAGAUUACCAGGUACUUUCUCAAGGUACAAGAACAGGAACACUCUGAAAACUAUGAUUGGUUGUUCUCCUCGAGGUCUUGUUACCUAUGUUAGUGACAGUUAUGGUGGAUCAACAAGUGACAGGCAGAUUAUUGAGAGGUCAGAUUUGAGCAUGCCAGGUGUGUUUUGUGCAGGAGACAGUAUUAUGGCGGACAGAGGCAUUAUGGUGCAGAUCAUAUUUUCAUCUUCAGAUGUAAAAGUCAACACUCCAACAAUGCUCAAGGGUCGAAGUCAGUUUGAACCCCAAGAGGUAGUCCACGACCACAGAGUAUCAUCCAAGAGAAUUCAUAUUGAGCGUUUUAUUGGACUUGGCAAAACUUACAAAAUUCUUAAGAGGGAGCUUCAUCCAUCAAAAGUUCCACUAGGCACUAGAAUUGUUCGAAUUUGCUAUAUGUUGUCAAACUUUCGCCCAAGCAUUGUAAACCGACUUGCAUGAAUAAAUGUCCAUUCUAAACAUA